rnacentral:ncRNA from 1 species
GGUUUGGUCCUAGCCUUGAAAUCAGUUUUUAUUUAAUAUACACAUGCAAGUCUCCGCACCCCUGUGAAAACGCCCUCAAUUCCCUAUUCGGGAAUAGGAGCUGGUAUCAGGCACAACUACUGCCCAAAACACCUAGCCUCGCCACACCCACAAGGGACCUCAGCAGUGAUUAACAUUGAGUAUUAGCGCCAGCUUGACUCAGUUAAACUCUUUAGAGCCGGCCAAUCUGGUGCCAGCCGCCGCGGUUAUACCAGAAGCUCAAAUUGAUUUCUAUCGGCGUAAAGCGUGAUUAAAGUAAUUAUUACUUGGAGUUAAACUAAAACUAAGCUGUAACACGCCUGUUACCUAAGAAACACCAAAACGAAAGCUACUCCAACUCACCCCACUUGAAUUCACGACACCUGAGAAACAAACUGGGAUUAGAUACCCCACUAUGCUCAGUCGUAAACUUUAAAUUACACCUCUAUCGCCUGGGAACUACGAGCCAAGCUUAAAACCCAAAGGACUUGACGGUACCCCACAUCCACCUAGAGGAGCCUGUCCUAUAAUCGAUAAUCCUCGUUCAACCUCACCAUUUUUAGCUAUUCAGCCUGUAUACCUCCGUCGUCAGCUUACCACGUGAGCGCCAGUGAGCUUAAUGUUCUUCAACCACACGUCAGGUCAAGGUGCAACUAAUAAAAUGGAAAGAGAUGGGCUACACUCUCUAAUAUAGACUACACGGAAGACUUAAUGAAAAUUUAUCAGAAGGCGGAUUUAGCAGUAAAAAGAAAUCAAAAAAUUCUUUUAAAUCUGGCACUGGGGUGUGUACACACCGCCCGUCACCCUCUUCUACUGCACACAAUAGUAAAUAACCCAACCAGCUAAUCAGAAGAGGUAAGUCGUAACAUGGUAAGUAUACCGGAAGGUGUGCUUGGAAA